rnacentral:rRNA from 1 species
UACAGAGGGUGCGAGCGUUGUUCGGAAUUACUGGGCGUAAAGGGCGCGUAGGCGGUCAGCACAAGUCAGUUGUGAAAUCCCCGGGCUUAACUCGGAAAGGUCAACUGAUACUGUGCGACUAGAGUGCAGAAGGGGCAACUGGAAUUCUCGGUGUAGCGGUGAAAUGCGUAGAUAUCGAGAGGAACACCUGCGGCGAAGGCGGGUUGCUGGGCUGACACUGACGCUGAUGCGCGAAAGCCAGGGGAGCGAACGGG